CCUUUAAAAUAUGGGGGAUGGGGGGGGGGGGGGAGGGAAUUUCCUCAGCACAAAGGGGUAAUUGUGCUGUAAAGAAAUACUCCGAAGAAAUCUUUGGAGAUUUAUCUGAGGAGGGCAUUGAGAUUUUUUUCCUCUUCCAUCGCAACGUUUUACUUUCACCAAAAUCAGAUAUGGAGACAUGCUCAGCUGGAGAGCUGCAGGAAAAGAAAAAUGAGGAAUCGAGGUUUGACAAGAAAAGCCACUCCCCAAAGGCCUCACGGAAAAGAAGCAUGGGAAGACUGUGCACAUGGACAUGUACUAUAUGAAAAAUUGAAACAGGGAGUCAGCAGGAAGAUGUGGUAAGAACCUCCUAGCUUUGCUACUUGAAUGUUCAACAGCUUUUACUGCACUGAGAUGAUAUGCAGCAGAAAGCAUAAAUAAAGCAGUCUGAUAACUUGA